AGUGAACGCUGGCGGUAGGCCUAACACAUGCAAGUCGAACGGCAGCACAGUAAGAGCUUGCUCUUACGGGUGGCGAGUGGCGGACGGGUGAGGAAUACAUCGGAAUCUACUUUUUCGUGGGGGAUAACGUAGGGAAACUUACGCUAAUACCGCAUACGACCUACGGGUGAAAGCAGGGGAUCUUCGGACCUUGCGCGAUUGAAUGAGCCGAUGUCGGAUUAGCUAGUUGGCGGGGUAAAGGCCCACCAAGGCGACGAUCCGUAGCUGGUCUGAGAGGAUGAUCAGCCACACUGGAACUGAGACACGGUCCAGACUCCUACGGGAGGCAGCAGUGGGGAAUAUUGGACAAUGGGCGCAAGCCUGAUCCAGCCAUACCGCGUGGGUGAAGAAGGCCUUCGAGUUGUAAAGCCCUUUUGUUGGGAAAGAAAACCAGCAGGUUAAUACCCCGCUGUUCUGACGGUACCCAAGAAUAAGCACCGGCUAACUUCGUG
rnacentral:rRNA from 1 species